rnacentral:rRNA from 1 species
UGGGGAAUAUUGCACAAUGGGCGCAAGCCUGAUGCAGCCAUGCCGCGUGUAUGAAGAAGGCCUUCGGGUUGUAAAGUACUUUCAGCGGGGAGGAAGGGAGUAAAGUUAAUACCUUUGCUCAUUGACGUUACCCGCAGAAGAAGCACCGGCUAACUCCGUGCCAGCAGCCGCGGUAAUACGGAGGGUGCAAGCGUUAAUCGGAAUUACUGGGCGUAAAGCGCAUGCAGGCGGUUUGUUAAGUCAGAUGUGAAAUCCUCGGGCUCAACCUGGGAACUGCAUCUGAUACUGGCAAGCUUGAGUCUCGUAGAGGGGGGUAGAAUUCCAGGUGUAGCGGUGAAAUGCGUAGAGAUCUGGAGGAAUACCGGUGGCGAAGGCGGCCCCCUGGACGAAGACUGACGCUCAGGUGCGAAAGCGUGGGGAGCAAACAGG